CUGCCAGGCUGCAGCCCACUGAAGUCCACUGAAGCCUGCUGGUGUGAAGUCCCAGAAAGCAGAUAUGAAGGCAGUCUGCUUUGUGGGGACUGCAGAUAGAAAGGCUGGAGCAGUGGGAGAGAGACAGUGUGCUAAGGUCCAACAGAGAAACAGACCUGCAGGGAUGAAGGGGAGUUUCACUGCAGAGACAACAACACUUCUUGUCUUCCACUGGAACCAUGUGGACUGAGAAGAGUCCAGCUUCCCAAGAGAGAUUGUCCAGUUCUGUGCCAGAGACCCGACAAACCUCGUAACCAGUCACCUGGUCCUUGGCCAUCCAAUCCCAUCCGGAGGCAUCUGGGAUCCACACCUCCUUCUCAGUUUUGCUCCUGCCGGACUUCCAGUUUGCCGCUGCGUCUCACCAGCUCAGGAUCUCUUCCCUCUGUGCUACCCCUAGGACUGAAGCUUUGGUUCCUAGCUCAUCAACAGCAAUUGAUAAUGCUCAGCGUCAAUGUAAUUAUUGAACUGGGCAACGAACAACUAAGGAAAACAUUCUUCAGCUACUGGCAGAAGUGUCCCAAAACAUAUCUAUGAGCAGUGAUUGAAUGGCAGGCGACAUUAAUGAUAUCUUUAAUUGGCUAUUGAGGCAGGAGGAAACCAAUUGCAACGGUAUGGAGAGCAGGACUAAUGGAAUCUUACACAUUGUUAAGAUUGGUGGCCAUUUUCAAACUAGUAAGUGACUCUUGGUGAAAUAUGUGAUGGUUCAUUCCUCCUCCCACCUUCCCCCCUGAGGUGGAUGGCUGGGAUGGGGCAGGACUGAGGUGAUUUCUGCCCAGCUUUGAGCUUCAGGUGGGGCAUAAAGCUCCCCUGGUGGGGACUUUCCCCCACACCAGGCAGACCCUGGCUGGGGGAGUCAAUGCAAGGUUGGGGGAUGUUUCCACCCCCCUCCCCUUGCGCGCGCACACUAACACACACACACACACACACACACACACACACACACACACACACACACACACACACACAUGCACCUCUGCCACAGGUGGAUGGCUGAUGAGGGGGCAGGCCUGAGGUUAUCCUAGCUUGGGUCAGCUCAUGGGCUACAAGUCGGGUGUAAAAGGUCCCCAACAAUGAGGAUUCCCCCCCUUUGCCCUGUACAAACUGCAGCUAUGGGGACUGGGUGUCAGUUCACCUGCCCCCCCCCCCCAUUCCACUGGGCUGACAAGUGCAGGCAGGAAGCAGGCUAGGGGGCAGAGGCUUUAGAGCCUCAGCUCUGUGACAUCUGGGGGCAGGGCAAGCCAUGCUCUGCUGAAGCAGACAGCAAAGCCCAGGGCUGCAAAGCAUUCUGGGAUGCUGGGGGACUGUGAUUUAACUCGAGAUGGGAAGGGAUCUGGGACAGAAAUUCUAUAAACCAGUUUAACCUAAAUCAGUUAAGUCUGAUACUACCUCCACCAAGGUUUAUCUUAAACCGGGUUCAACCAUUUUGAAAGCAGUUUAUGUGAACUGAACUUGUGUUCUGCUACAGGUUUAAACCAGUUUCCAAUCACUUAUACUGGUUUAUGUGUAACUUUUGUCCCUCACCCAAAUGAGUGAUAGCCUUGUAUUAGCUCCAUUUUGGGGGGAAGUUUGGGUCUGAAUUGUAAUUGUAGACCUUGGACAAUAGCACAAAGUUUCAGAUUUCUCUCUUAUACCCUCAGAUCAGACAGUUUUCUGGUGAGCCCAGGGCUUUGUGGUUGAAUAGUCUCAUUACACUGUGAAAGGCAUACAUUUAGCUGCUUAUUCCCCAGGCUUAAAGUUUUGUCAAGGCACUACAGUCAAUUUUUAUUAAGGAUGAUGCACUUCAAUUGUUAUUGGGGGACUCCAUUGAACAAGGGACCAGUCUUCCAAAUGAUAAUUGUGUAAAUAGUUCAGUUGAAAUAAAUGAAAAGGUUACUUACAAGAAAAAGGUGGGGGGCAGCUUUGGGGCUCAUCAUGCAAAAUAACUGUGGAUUAGCCUGAGACACAAUUUUGUUCAGCCUUCUAGCACUGGACAAUGGAUAAAAGCCAGAUGCAUUCAUAAGCAUUAUAAAUUAAGCAGAAAAGUAGGUGCUUUUCACUGAUUUGGUAUGUCAUGAGGGUGAGAGAAAACUUGAGACAAAACCAAGAAAUAGAAAAAGCAAGCCCCAGAACUAAAAAGAAAAUCACUGAGUGGGGAAAAUAAUCUUUAUCUGCAUAGAUAUUGGCAGUUAAGUCUUGUUGCUCAUCUUGGUAAAUAGAUACCAUUUGCAACUGCAUGUAAAACAAUUGAGCUUUGGCCAAAUAGUUAAUAAAACCCAGCAGGACAGACUCCUCUAAUUUUCAUAUUUCAAGAGGAAGUUGUGUGUGAAAAUAGUUAAGACACUUUAAAAUGAGUAGUGGUGCUGUCUAGUUCCCUCAGUGGAGUUAGCUCUUGGCUGAACACUACCCAGGGCAUUGAAAAAUGAGGCUGUUCAAAGCACUCCCACUGUUUGAUCAGUGUUAAUAAAUGGCAUUUUUUGAUAGAAGUUAUACCUUCUUAAAAGAAAAAUUCUCCCUUGAUAAUGCAUGGAAAUGGGUUAGAGGUCAUGAGCACUUUAUUAAAAUACCACCAGUAAAGUGUGUUGAAUGGAUUUAUCUUUCUCUGAUACACUUCCUGCUAUCUGGUACUUGCUAAAGGCGCCAUACCCUGGGAAUCAUAAAAACUGAUCUGCAUUAGAUGACUCUAAGCAUUGGGCAUUUAAAAUUUAAAGAGUUCUGGAGGAAAGGAUAUUCCUAGGCAUGUGCUCAUGCAUGAAACACAUGUGUUUGAGCACUGUGCUAUGUUAUCAAAGCAUGUGGCAUAUUUCUUUAGUCAAAUUUCUCACCAAAAUAAAGAUUAAUAUUACUGUGAUUGCCCAGUUGUAUUCCCUUCUUGGCUAUAGCUAUGGGAAAGUGCUUUGAGUUCAAUGGAAACACAAAUUAACAAAAAUUCACUGGCAUCUUCCAAUGGUGUACAGGUUUGCUGCAGGCUAGAAAAGUACUGUAUCAUUGGAACAAUGACUUUCUUUCAAAAGUAACAUUUGAUCAAAUUCAUUCUAUUGGUUAGGGAAAUGCUGCCUGAGGUUUUACAUUUUAUUUAUUUUUUUAAAACCACUUUCCACUAUCUUAAUAUAUAUGGUCUCUAAUAGCUACUGCUUAUUUGUUCAAGGCAUAUAAUAUUAAAGGUCAAACUCUGCCAUUUUGAAAAAUGAAUCCUUCUGAAAAUUUCCAUAGAUCAGUUUAUGAACUGCCAAUAUUUUAGCAAAAGAAUCCAGCAAGCAGGGAUUCUGGGAAAUUCUAUCUGAUAACAUUCUUUGUCAGUCCAGCCAUUAUUAGCAUUUUUAAGAGUGUUUUUCCUUCUUGAAAGAGAGACUAUAAAUAGUAGUUUGAAGCAUGCUGAAUCAUCUGCUAUUCAAAACAUAUUGAAACUAUUCAAUAAAAUGUGUCAAAGGAGAGUGCUAAGUUUUGAAAGAGUUGCUUUGGGUUUCUUGGUUUGAAAUGCCAUGAGAGGCUGAAUCCAGAAGCAAUCCUUAAACAGAAUUUAAAAUUCUGCUGAUGCUUGAAGAGAACUCUACGUUUCUAAGAAGUUUUAUUUAUUUUUAAUCAUAACUGUGCAUUGUUGCCAUACUUUAGUCAGAUUCUCCAAGAUCUUAGCAGACAACUUAUUUUUGCUAAAGAUGAGGGUAAAUUAAGUUCCCAUGGGAAACAUGCUCAUAUUUAAUGCAAUUAAUCUUUGCUUGUAUACACAGCAGAAUUGUUGCAUACCUUUACUCAUUCUGAGUGCAGUUAGGCUGCUAUAUCUCUACAUGUGGCUUCAAAAAAUCAGUUUCCUGAAGCAAACUCUUUUCAUAUUUGAAUAUCUAAUUUGACCACAUUCCAUACCUCUUCAGAAAGAGGUCAUCUGCAGUUAGUGCAAAUCUACUUCCUAUCAAGAAAAUAAGUGACAACCUAACUUUAUACAGCUAAUGCACAUUUACUGUAAGAACUGUGUGAGGUAUAAAACAUGUUGCAUAUUCCUUUGACUGAAGAAGAAGCAGGUAUUAAUUAACACUGCCCAUGAUAAUGUUUUGCUCCUUUCAGUGCUAAACUGGAGGCAAAAGUCUAAAAAUUGCAAUUCUGGUUAAUAGCUAAUUCUGCAAGGUUUUAUCCAGCUUAGUAAUAACCACUCAUACCAUUAUGCCCUUGGCCAGCUUAAUAAA